UAAUGACAAUUGCUGCACACUUUUGUGCAGUGAAUUGUUUACUUGUGGUACAAUGCUAUCAACGCUGCAUACAAAUGAUUUUUGAAAGGCUACAACAUGGGAUGCGAUGUUCAUGUAUGUGUGCCUGCUUUGUCCACAGCAUGUGCUGAAUGAAUCACAUUUCUUGCAACCUGAAAUGCAAAUAGCAUGGUGAAGUUCAUGUGAUCAUGAAACAUGCUUGCGAUUCAUGAUGUGCAAGUACCAUGAGCGGAAAUGUGAAAAGGACUUUGGAAUGAGAAUUUAAAUCAAGCCUGCAAUUGCUGGUCAUGAAGGGCAAGUGUAGACAUUCAUUGAAGUGUUUACUGCAUCUCUACACCACCUUUAUGGGUUACUG
rnacentral:rRNA from 1 species